UUGAUUGUUGAAAAUAAGUGAUGUGGCAAACACAAACUUUUGAUACUUUGGAUACAGAUGAAUACCUAAUUUGUGAAUACUGAAGCAUUAUUUAAAUCACCAGAAGUUAAAAGCAGUGUUUAAGCUACACUUGCAACACUUCAAUCAAAAUGAACAAACGUCAGCCCCAGAGGGAAAACCAGGCAAAAAUAUUUGCAUUGUUCAAUCACGUCACAGCUCCAAUUGCUGCCACCCAACCUACCACUCCUGAAGCUAAAAACAGCACAAGAAUCCAUUGGUUUAUGAAUGACAUUUUUGAUGUUGAACUACUAUGACAUUGAUGUAAACGAUACAUGAAACUGAAAUGAACAAGUGAAUCCACUCAAAAAUGAUGUGCAGAUGACAAAGAAGUAGCCAAUAAUGGUUACUGUUAAAUAACUGUGAAAUAGGGGUGUGACGAGAUCUCGUGCCACGAGAUCUCGCGAGAUUAAACUCGACGAUAUUUCUCGUCGCGUUAAAAAUCUGUCUCGCGAGAUUUGUGAGCUAUGCAAACCUCUACCCCUGUACCUCUACCAGAGAAGCUGGCUCUGCUUCUACCAGAGAAUUUUGACUGGCUGUGCUUCUACUUGUGACCUGUGGGGGAAGUAAUGCGCAUUUGCUACGUCUAGCCUGCCAGAACCUAAAGAAGGAGAAGGAAAAGAAGAAGAGGAGGAGAAGGAGGGGAAACAGCAAGCAGCCAGAAUGACGUCGGAAAAUACCGACCACAGCUGAGGAGAGGGAAGAAGGGGCAGCAGGUGGAGCUCACUGUCCCACACAUGGUAGAGAGGAGGCUGUGAGAGAUGAUGAGCCCGAAGUGACAGAACCUACUCCCAAAAAGACAGCACUUGAGGACCUGUUAGGAAACUCUUUCUCUACUGAGCCAGAGAUGUCCAACAGUUCAAAACAGGCUGAGAGGGAAGUUGAAAACUACAGAAAAGAGGCCUCUAUCCCUCUCAGUGGCUGCCCUCUUAAGUGGUGGCAACAACACUGCUCCCAAUAUCCUUUGCUGUCUCACCUUGCCAAAGCGUGCCUUUCUGUCCCUGCUACCUCCGUUCCAAGUGAGCGCAUCUUUUCAACAGCAGGAGACAUAGUCAAUGCGCAAAGAUCCCAACUGCUGCCAGACAAUGUGGACAUGCUAAUAUUCUUAAAAAAAGAACAUGGCUGUGUAGUUGCAGCAUGUUGUUACACUUGGUCAGGCUUUGUUUGCACUCUGUAUUGACAGUUAAUGAUUUGGUUUUGCACAUAAUAUUGUUUGCACUUUGAAAAGAAAAGGAGGAAAUAUUCAAUUUUAUUAUUUUUUUAUUAUUGUUUUAACUUUUAUAAAUUUUAGUUCUAGUUUCAAUUUGUGAAAGAAUAAGUUUAUUAACAGUUAAAAGAACAUGACUGUGUAGUUGCAGCAUGUUGUUACCUUUAAUACUUGGUGCAUGCAAGUUAUAAUAAAACAUUUCAAAAUGCUUGUGCAACUCAGUAAAAUAAAAGUCUGUUGGUCCAGUCA